rnacentral:rRNA from 1 species
UACAUGUGGGGCAAGCGUUGUUCGGAAUUACUGGGCAUAAAGGGUGCGUAGGCGGCUUGUUAAGUCAGGGGUGAAAGUUUUCGGCCCAACCGGAAAAUUGCCUUUGAUACUGGCGAGCUGGAGUGCGUGAGGGGUGACCGGAACGAGUGGUGUAGCGGUGAAAUGCGUAGAUAUCACUCGGAAGGCCAACGGCGAAGGCAGGUCACUGGUGCGCAACUGACGCUGAGGCACGAAAGCGUGGGGAGCAACAGG